rnacentral:rRNA from 1 species
GAGCAACCUGCCCCUGGACUCCUGGGAAUAAAGCGCCUGGAAAACGGCGUCUAAAUACCGGGAUACGAGACGUGCCCGCAUGGUCAACGUUUGGAAAGAUUUUUUGGUUCAGGAUGGGCUCGCGGCCUAUCAGCUUGUUGGUGAGGUAAUGGCUCACCAAGGGCGUCGACGGGUAGCCGGCCUGAGAGGGUGACCGGCCACACUGGGACUGAGACACGGCCCAGACUCCUACGGGAGCCAGCAGUGGGGAAUAUUGCACAAUGGGCGAAAGCCUGAUGCAGCAACGCCGCGUGAGGGAUGACGGCCUUCGGGUUGUAAACCUCUUUUAGCAAGGAAGAAGCGAAAGUGACGGUACUUGCAGAAAAAGCGCCGGCUAACUACGUGCCAGCAGCCGCGGUAAUACGUAGGGCGCAAGCGUUAUCCGGAAUUAUUGGGCGUAAAGAGCUCGUAGGCGGUUUGUCGCGUCUGCUGUGAAAACUGGAGGCUCAACCUCCAGCCUGCAGUGGGUACGGGCAGACUAGAGUGCGGUAGGGGAGAAUUGGAAUUCCUGGUGUAGCCGUGGAAUGCGCAGAUAUCCAGGAGGAACACCGAUGGCGAAGGCAGAUCUCUGGGCCGUAAUCUGACGCUGAGGAACCAAAAGGGUGGGGAGCAAACAGGCUUAGAUACCCCGGGAAGUCCACCCCCGUAAACGUUGGGAACUAGUUGUGGGGACCAUUCCACGGUUCCGUGACGCCAUUAACGCUUAAGUUCCCGCCUGGG